rnacentral:tRNA from 1 species
CUCUGGGUAGCUCAGUUGGAAGAGCGUCAGACUGUAAUGGUUACAACUCAUCUGAAUGUCACUGGUUCGAACCCGGUCCCGGAGA